GACGAACGCUGGCGGCGUGCCUAAUACAUGCAAGUAGAACGCUGAAGAGAGGAGCUUGCUCUUCUUGGAUGAGUUGCGAACGGGUGAGUAACGCGUAGGUAACCUGCCUUGUAGCGGGGGAUAACUAUUGGAAACGAUAGCUAAUACCGCAUAACAAUGGAUGACACAUGUCAUUUAUUUGAAAGGGGCAAUUGCUCCACUACAAGAUGGACCUGCGUUGUAUUAGCUAGUAGGUGAGGUAAUGGCUCACCUAGGCGACGAUACAUAACCGACCUGAGAGGGUGGACGGGCAACACGGGAAUUAGAAACGGCCCAGAAUCCCUAGGGAGGCAACAGGAGGGAAUCUUCGGCAAUGGGGGCAAAACUGGACGAGGAAAGCCGGGGGGGUGAAGAAGGUUUUCGGAUCGGAAAGCUCUGUUGUAAGUCAAGAAAGGGGGUGAGAGUGGAAAGUUCACACUGUGACGGUAGCUGACCAGAAAGGGACGGCUAACUACGUG
rnacentral:rRNA from 1 species